UACGAAGGGUGCAAACGUUGCUCGGAAUCAUUGGGCGUAAAGCGCACGUAGGCGGCCUCACAAGUCGGAUGUGAAAUCCCGUGGCUCAACCAUGGACGUGCAUUCGAAACCGCGAGGCUUGAGUAUGGAAGAGGGUCGCGGAAUUCCCGGUGUAGAGGUGAAAUUCGUAGAUAUCGGGAGGAACACCAGUGGCGAAGGCGGCGACCUGGGCCAAUACUGACGCUGAGGUGCGAAAGCGUGGGGAGCAAACAGG
rnacentral:rRNA from 1 species